rnacentral:rRNA from 1 species
GACGAACGCUGGCGGCGUGCUUAACACAUGCAAGUCGAGCGGUAAGGCCCUUUCGGGGGUACACGAGCGGCGAACGGGUGAGUAACACGUGGGUGACCUGCCCUCAGCUCUGGGAUAAGCCCGGGAAACUGGGUCUAAUACCGGAUAUGACUCCAUGACGCAUGUUGUGGGGUGGAAAGCCUUGUGCGGCUGAGGAUGGGCCCGCGGCCUAUCAGCUUGUUGGUGGGGUGANGGCCUACCAAGGCGACGACGGGUAGCCGGCCUGAGAGGGCGACCGGCCACACUGGGACUGAGACACGGCCCAGACUCCUACGGGAGGCAGCAGUGGGGAAUCUUGCGCAAUGGGCGAAAGCCUGACGCAGCGACGCCGCGUGAGGGAUGACGGCC